CCUACGGGUGGCAGCAGUGGGGAAUAUUGGACAAUGGGGGCAACCCUGAUCCAGCCAUGCCGCGUGUGUGAAGAAGGCCCUCGGGUUGUAAAGCACUUUCAGUGAGGAAGAACGCCUGGUGGUUAAUACCCAUCAGGAAAGACAUCACUCACAGAAGAAGCACCGGCUAACUCCGUGCCAGCAGCCGCGGUAAUACGGAGGGUGCGAGCGUUAAUCGGAAUUACUGGGCGUAAAGCGCGCGUAGGUGGCUUGAUAAGCCGGUUGUGAAAGCCCCGGGCUCAACCUGGGAACGGCAUCCGGAACUGUCAAGCUAGAGUGCAGGAGAGGAAGGUAGAAUUCCCGGUGUAGCGGUGAAAUGCGUAGAGAUCGGGAGGAAUACCAGUGGCGAAGGCGGCCUUCUGGACUGACACUGACACUGGGGUGCGAAAGCGUGGGUAGCAAACAGGAUUAGAUACCCGUGUAGUC
rnacentral:rRNA from 1 species